UGCUGCUACCGUUAUCACAGCGCUCUUCCAUAAGGAAGAAUUUACCAGGGUAACUCAACCACAGGUCAGCCAGACACGGCAAACCUGUCAAUGGUUUGGCAGAUCCUGCCAAUCCACAAGAUACCUUACUAGUAAACGGAACUGUAGGAACAAGUCCUACAAAAAGGGGGCGAGAAUCUCCCCCGGUUCGAUCACCGAUGCAGCCCACUGUUCGCGCCAGACCGGUGGGCCACCGUGGGGACGAUAUCGACCGAUGCCGUGCAAAGGCCGGGCUCUUGGCGCCUUGCCAUGGCCGAAUAUCGCUCGGAUCAACUCUCCGAGGUUUGGUGAUUCCCUAGGGAAGCAAGCUUCUCCCGGCCUGUGGGUAAACCCACUCAGCCCGAGUGCGGCCAGCUCUCGGGUGGGAACCGUGAUGGCUUCUAUCCCUCCACCGUCCGUCCCUUCGGCGCCUUGGGAUUGGGACACUUUC
rnacentral:lncRNA from 1 species